CAGCAGCCGCGGGAAUACGUAGGGUGCAAGCGUUAAUCGGAAUUACUGGGCGUAAAGCGUGCGUAGGUGGUGGUUUAAGUCCGUUGUGAAAGCCCUGGGCUCAACCUGGGAAUUGCAGUGGAUACUGGGUCACUAGAGUGUGGUAGAGGAUAGUGGAAUUUCCGGUGUAGCAGUGAAAUGCGUAGAGAUCGGAAGGAACAUCUGUGGCGAAGGCGACUAUCUGGGCCAACACUGACACUGAGGCACGAAAGCGUGGGGAGCAAACAGGAUUAGAGACCCCCGUAGUCCCUGUCUCUUAUAC
rnacentral:rRNA from 1 species